UACGUAUGGUGCAAGCGUUAUCCGGAUUUACUGGGUGUAAAGGGAGCGCAGGCGGCACGGCAAGCCUGAUGUGAAAGCCCGCGGCCCAACCGCGGGACUGCAUUGGGAACUACUGGGCUGGAGUGCCGGAGAGGUAGGCGGAAUUCCUAGUGUAGCGGUGCAAUGCGUAGAUAUUAGGAGGAACACCAGUGGCGAAGGCGGCCUACUGGACGGUGACUGACGCUGAGGCUCGAAAGCGUGGGGAGCAAACAGG
rnacentral:rRNA from 1 species